CAGACAGCAUAUAUGACAAUGUUAUUAUAAGAUUAUUGUGGAGCCAAAACAUUCCUAUUACUCAUUGACACUGCACCCAUCCUAAGAUUAUAGCACAGGGCAUGUUUGUGGUAAUGCAGGUGUAAAUGAAAAACUUGCUGUGCUGUCCGUCAUAGAACGGUAUCACACAUAAAAUCACGUUCAGUGUACAAUACUUAAAAAUGAUAAUAAACAACUGUUACUGGUUUAUGUAUUUAUUAUAUUAUACAUUUGUCAUUACUUUAGAGUGUACUUAUUAUACUUGUGUUUUUAGGAAGUUAACUGUGAAAGAGUCCCAGGCAGUAUCUGCGGGAAGUAUUUCAGAACAUGGCAUUGUGAUCUCAGGAGAUGACAGCUUCAAGUGUGUUAUUGCCCCUGAAGGCCUCCCAGUGGGACAAAACAUGGAGGUGAAAGUAACAUUGAUGACCUGAUCCUGUGUAGGCCUAAGCUAAUGUGUUCAUUAGUGUCUUUCUUUGUUGAAAAGAGAUUCCUAUUUCAUGGACACUAUAUACAAGAUGAGUAUUGAAGCACAGCCAGGAAGCCAAGGAAAUGUUGAAGAGUGCUAGAGAAAGACUGCUGGGAGGGUCAAAGAAUGUCAGAGAAGGUCAAGAAACAUCAAACCCAGGAAGACUCUAAACGCAUGCCCAGAAGUCAGUAUCAUGGCACAAGCAAAGCUUCAAAAAUAUCAAGCUCUGGGAGUGAGGACGGAAGCCAAUGUGGAAGGCUAUCACUGGUCAAGUACUGGAACAUUUUUCAGAGACCAAAUAGAAGAAGGUCUUCCUACGUUGCCCAUGCUGGUCUCAAACUCCUGGCCUCAAGCAAUCCUCCCUCUGGUUUCCCAAAAUGCUGAGAUUACAGACAUGAGUCACUGCAUCCCAUCCAGCUAAAAAGCUGUUUUAAAUUUGAUGACAAAUCCUAGUACUGAUGUUCCAGCUUAGAUUUAACAGCAUAGCUGAAGUACAGAACUACAGUCAGGACCAGCUUUGUGGCCAUGCAACAUAAGCACAAGACACCAUGCAUUGAGAGACGUCACACUUACCUUAACACUGGUAUCACCAACUUAAAUUUCUUAAUAAAUUUUGAUCAAGUCACCCACUAUUUCUAUUUGGCACUAGGCCUUGCAACUUAAGUAGCCAGUUCUUACUACUGUCAAUAUUUUAUAUAGUUAUCAAUGUGUAACUUAGUAACAAAGAAGUUGGACUGGAAUUUGUGGCUUCUAAUAUGUUGUACUUGUGUCCUGAUAAUCACUUUCCAUGAACUACUUUGUGACUUUUGUGGCCUGGAAGGUAUCAUAUACUAGAAGGAUGGUGUUUAUCACAUUGCAGAAUCCUCACAAAUCAUUAUGUAUCUUUGGAUGAAAUUAACAACUAGUUAAACAGAUGGAACUACUAAUUUGAAAGCAAGGAACAUACGGUAUCUCUCACUGUCCCUCAUUAUAAGAGACAUACCUCAUUUUAGACCCAAGUGUAACUCUAUCCCACACAGACCUGAUGUUAUCUGACAUUUAUUAUGGUAAACUAUUUACAUGAGAAAUGCUACAUUAUGAAAAUAAGGCUACAGAAUAUCUUAUUUGUGCUUAGACAUUAAUCAUACAACUUUAAACCUCCUACAUCACACUUUCCAUGUGUUCUUCAUUCUGUUCUUUUACUCCAUAUUCUUUCUGCCCUUUAGUCUUGGACAUCUAAGAAAUUUAAAGUAAUAUGUUAGGCCUGUGUUUGUGAUAGCAUUUUGCCAAAUGUACAUGAUAAGCUAUACCAAAAGGAAUAUUGCACAGUUAUAUGAAGCUCCACUUUUAAAGGAGUGACUAUAAACUCAGCAUUUACAACCUCUGGUGAAACUAAUUUAAUAAGCUCCUAAAACACUGUUUCUGACAUUUUCAAUGGUUUGUUCCGGGGUAGAUGUUUGCACUUUUAGAAAGUAGUUGGUGUUUUAAGAUAACAUAUUUACAAUUGUAAGUUCUUAAUCAUUGGUCAUUGGCUAGAUAUAUCUGUUUAUCUCUCGUCAUUAUCUCUCUCCAUCUCCCUAUUGUCUAUCUAGAAUACAUUUGUUUCUGUUCCUUAGAAAAAAAAUUGUAAGUAGCUUUGAAGGGGGUUGUCAUAAAACGACUUGUCUCCCCUUAAUCUUUUCAGAGACAUCCCUUCAUUAUUAUGAUAAUGACUGAGGUAAAGAUCACACUAACAUACCUCUAAAGAAAACUAUAAGGAAAAGGGAAAUUAAAUGUACAUGCUCCUCAAAAACAAAACCUUAAAAAAUGACAUCAGAGGUUUUAGGUUGGGAUCAAAUAGAAGACGAAGAAGCAAUAAGAAAGCAUACAAAUAAUUUAGAAAUACAACAAUUUAGACUGAUUAAGGC
rnacentral:lncRNA from 1 species